GUUGCUCGGAAUCACUGGGCGUAAAGCGCACGGAGGCGGACUCUUAAGUCGGGGGUGAAAUCCUGGAGCUCAACUCCAGAACUGCCUUCGAUACUGGGAGUCUUGAGUUCGGGAGAGGUGAGUGGAACUGCGAGUGUAGAGGUGAAAUUCGUAGAUAUUCGCAAGAACACCAGUGGCGAAGGCGGCUCACUGGCCCGAUACUGACGCUGAGGUGCGAAAGCGUGGGGAGCAAACAGG
rnacentral:rRNA from 1 species